AAAUUAUGAAUUUCCUCCCGACAAGACUUAUGCCAUCGAGAUAAAGGCAAGAAGAAAUAUUUUUAAUUCAACAUUUCGCUAUGUUCUUCAUGACAGAUUAAAAGACGCCCAAAUGUGCGUGAAUGACGAAGGCAAAAAAUGUUUAUUGGUCGGGUUAAUCAAGCGUACACUAAAUUAUCGGUUAAUAAAUAAACAAGAAUGUACUGAUGACGGAAAUUGUGUUGUAACUUCACAUCAGUUUCUUACCAACUUGUCAGGAUUACCUGACAGAAGAAUAUUGUAUAUGGAACCACCUGCGGUGGAGAUAUAUCGAGAUCAAUUAGACACCAAUGGAAGCUGUUAUAAAACAUUAUUCAGUGGCCCAGACGGAGUACUCAUACCUUGGACAGACAAUACACAAGUAGAAUCAAGCUCCUCAGACGACGAGUAAAUUUAAUUGCAUAUUGAUGUUACUAUUGUAUUUUAGUUGAAAUCAUCGUUUUAUUAACUAAAUGUUUCAAUAUCAUUAGAACUAUAUUAACUAAUAAACUAUUAUAAUCAAUACUUUAA